GGGUUGAGUUGACCUCUGCGAUUAUCCCUAAUGUGAUAACUCGUUUGCGCUAUUUUUGUUAGACGGGAAUGGCGUUCGCGCCGUCCCGAU
rnacentral:snRNA from 10 species